rnacentral:lncRNA from 1 species
AUGACAUCCUGUCCCUGUAUCUCAGGCAUCACCUCAGGGCUCCAUCAGACACUAACCUCCUGCUCCCCUUGGGGAUUGAAAGGCUACACACCUGUUUCCCUAAUUUGCUCUUUGGAAAAUGCCGUGAAUCAGGUGAAGAAGCUGAAGGUUGUAGAGUUAAGUUGUCAUUCAUCCAAGCCACACAAUAUAUUUAUGGAAGAGCUAG